GAAUCUUUGAACGCAUAUUGCGCUCUCUGGCAUUCCGGAGAGCAUGCUUGUUUGAGUAUCAGUAAACACCUCAAGUCGAGAGAUUUUUUUCUUGAGACUUGGAUUUGAGUGAUCCUAAUGACGAGUCCUUCUAAAAAAAGGACAAGUAGGCAGGUUACUUGAAAUUCAGGUGCAGCUGAACUUUUCUUCUGAGCUAAAAGCAUUAUUUAUUUAGUCUUUAUUGACUAUUACUUUUUUUGCUGCAGCUAAUAUAAAGGAAGAAGAGCUUCAUUAUAGCUGACUGAUGCAGGAAUUGAUCAGUCUGUAAAAGGACUGUUAGACUCGAUCUCAAAUCAAGUAAGACUACCCGCUGAACUUAAGCAUAUCAAUAAGCGGAGGAAAAGAAACNAACAAGGAUUCCCCUAGUAACGGCGAGUGAAGCGGGAUGAGCUCAAAUUUAAAAUCUGGCUGGUUUACUAGUCCGAAUUGUAGUUUAAAGAAGCGUUUUCGGUGGCAGCCUGGGUAUAAAUCCUUUGGAAUAGGGUAUCAUAGAGGGUGAGAAUCCCGUCUUUGACUCAGUGAAUGCUACUAUGUGAUACGUUUUCAAAGAGUCGAGUUGUUUGGGAAUGCAGCUCAAAAUGGGUGGUAAAUUUCAUCUAAAGCUAAAUAUUGGCGAGAGACCGAUAGCGAACAAGUACCGUGAGGGAAAGAUGAAAAGAACUUUGAAAAGAGAGUUAAAAAGUGCGUGAAAUUGUUGAAAGGGAAACGUUUGGCACCAGUCAUGCGGGUGGGAAAUCAAUCUUUUGGGAUGGGGAGUGUUGGAGGUUCAGACCGCAAGGCUGGCCUUUAGCUCGAUCUCUGUUCUAAGGGAUGCACUUUCUCAUUUGCAGGUCAACAUCAGUUUCUUCUGCUGGACAAAACUCUAAGAGAAGGUAGCAGCUUUGGCUGUGUUAUAGCUCUGGAGCGAUACAGUGGAGGGGACUGAGGUUUUCGCAGUGUGUGCUUUCGGGCAAGGUUGACUGGGUGCUCUGUGAUUGUUCGGUGUACAAUGCAUGCAUUUUGCGCUGUGUCUUUUGCAGACUCGCUUGAAUCGACU
rnacentral:rRNA from 1 species